AGUGCGGGAUGAGUGGGCGAACGGGGUGAGUAACACGUGGGGAAUCUGCCUAGGAGUGGGGGAUAACAUUCGGAAACGGUUGCUAAUACCGCAUAUCUUCAUAGACCGCAUGUUCUAUGAAUGAAAGACGGCUUUGCUGUCGCUCUUAGAUGAUCCCGCGGCGUAUUAGUUAGUGGGUGGGGUAAAGGCCUACCAAGACAAUGAUACGUAGCCGACCUGAGAGGGUGAUCGGCCACACUGGGACUGAGACACGGCCCAGACUCCUACGGGAGGCAGCAGUAGGGAAUCUUCCACAAUGGGUGCAAACCUGAUGGAGCAAUGCCGCGUGAAUGAAGAAGGUCUUCGGAUCGUAAAGUUCUGUUAUUAGUGAAGAACAAAUCGAGGAGUAACUGUCUCGAUUUUGACGGUAACUAACCAGAAAGUCACGGCUAACUACGUGCCAGCAGCCGCGGUAAUACGUAGGUGACAAGCGUUGUCCGGAAUUAUUGGGCGUAAAGGGAGCGCAGGCGGUUGGAAUAGUCUGAUGUGAAAGCCCACGGCUUAACCGUGGAAGGUCAUUGGAAACUGUCCAACUUGAAUGCAGAAGAGGUAAGUGGAAUUCCAUGUGUAGCGGUGAAAUGCGUAGAUAUAUGGAGGAACACCAGUGGCGAAGGCGACUUACUGGUCUGUGAUUGACGCUGAGGCUCGAAAGCGUGGGUAGCGAACAGGAUUAGAUACCCUGGUAGUCCACGCCGUAAACGAUGAGUGCUAAGUGUGGAGGGUUCCGCCCUUCAGUGCUGGAGUUAAC
rnacentral:rRNA from 1 species